rnacentral:rRNA from 1 species
UACAGAGGUCUCAAGCGUUGUCCGGAUUCAUUGGGCGUAAAGGGUGCGUAGGCGGCGCGGUAAGUCGGGUGUGAAAUCUCGGAGCUUAACUUCGAAACUGCAUUCGAUACUGCCGUGCUUGAGGACUGGAGAGGAGACUGGAAUUUACGGUGUAGCGGUGAAAUGCGUAGAUAUCGUAAGGAACACCGGUGGCGAAGGCGGGUCUCUGGGCCGAUACUGACGCUGAGGAGCGAAAGCGUGGGGAGCGAACAGG